rnacentral:rRNA from 1 species
GACGAACGCUGGCGGCGUGCUUAACACAUGCAAGUCGAACGGAAAGGCCCCUUUGGGGGUACUCGAGUGGCGAACGGGUGAGUAACACGUGAGUAACCUGCCCUUGACUUCGGGAUAACUUCAGGAAACUGGGGCUAAUACCGGAUAGGAAUCCUUGCUGCAUGGUGGGGGUUGGAAAGCUUCGGCGGUUUUGGAUGGACUCGCGGCCUAUCAGCUUGUUGGUGGGGUAGUGGCUUACCAAGGCUUUGACGGGUAGCCGGCCUGAGAGGGCGACCGGCCACAUUGGGACUGGGGAAACGCCCCGACUCCCACGGGGGGCAGGAGUGGGGGAUAUUGCAAAAUGGGGCGAAGCCUGAAGCAGGCGCGGCGGGGGCGGGAUGGCGGGCUUCGGGUUGUAAACCGCUUUCAGCAGGGGCGGAGCUUGUGGUGACGGUACCUGGAGAAGAAGCACCGGCUAACUACGUG